ACCUCUAGUGGCACAGUGGGUCAGUGCAUCUGGCUGUUAACCAGAAGGCUGGUGGUUCAAGCCCACCCAGGGAUA